AGUACGGCGAGUGAGCGGGAAGAGCUCAAUUUAAAAUCUGGCAGGCUACGCUUGUCCGAAUUGUAAUCUCGAGAAGUGUUUUCCGCGUUGGCCUGUGUACAAGUCCCUUGGAACAGGGCGUCAUAGAGGGUGAGAAUCCCGUCCUUGACACAGACACCCAAUGCUUUGUGAUACACUCUCAAUGAGUCGAGUUGUUUGGGAAUGCAGCUCAAAAUGGGUGGUAAAUUCCAUCUAAAGCUAAAUACUGGCGAGAGACCGAUAGCGAACAAGUACCGUGAGGGAAAGAUGAAAAGCACUUUGGAAAGAGAGUCAAACAGUACGUGAAAUUGUUGAAAGGGAAACGAUUGAAGUCAGUCGUGCCUGCCUAGAUUCAGCCUUCUGGUGUAUUUCUAGGUCGGCAGGUCAGCAUCAGUUUGGGGGGGUUAACAAGGGAGCUGGGAAUGUGGCAACCUCGGUUGUGUUAUAGCCCAGUUUCGCAUUGAUCUCGCUGGACUGAGGAACGCAGUGCGCCCGCAAGGGUUGGUCUUCGGACACAUUCGCACUUAGGAUGAUUGCAUAAUGGCUUUAAACGACCCGUCUUGA
rnacentral:rRNA from 1 species